rnacentral:rRNA from 1 species
UGGCGAACGGGUGAGUAACACGUGGGCAAACCCUGCCCAAAAGAGGGGGAGUAACACUUGGAAACAGGUGCUAAUACCGCAUAACCAUAGUUACCGCAUGGUAACUAUGUAAAAGGUGGCUAUGCUACCGCUUUUGGAUGGGCCCGCGGCGCAUUAGCUAGUUGGUGGGGUAAAGGCUUACCAAGGCAAUGAUGCGUAGCCGAACUGAGAGGUUGAUCGGCCACAUUGGGACUGAGACACGGCCCAAACUCCUACGGAAGGCAGCAG